rnacentral:misc_RNA from 1 species
AUAAAUUUUAAUUUAAAAUUAAAUAUGACAUGUUUCAAUCAUAAAAACUUUAAAAUAACAAAACAACUUUUAUUAAACUGUUUUUUUCUCAAUAGCAUCUAAAUGAUACUUUUUUUGAAAAGUGCUUUUUUGGCUCAUAACCUCGAUGCCAAACAGGGCCUCAGUGUAUGGAACAAUAUAGCGCAAUUUAAGAAUAAUAAUUAAAAAAAUCUUGAUAUUCUGUUGCUUUACCAUGGAU